ensembl:lncRNA
GCGAGCAGAACAGCUAUGUGCUAGUUUUACACCAAACGCAAGUUUUAGCCACUGGGGGACCAUAGGCAGGCUAGGGGAACUCAUAUUUAUGUUAGAAAACCUCACAAAGUGAGAUUUUCAUGUCAUGGGACCUUUAAACUAGGCAAGGUUCCACGAAGCUUUGACAUAAUCCAGAGUGGUAGAUAUAACAGAGUGGCGACACUUCCAUUGGACUCCGUUGUAGCGCCUACUUCCGGGGUAUGGAGCCUCGAAUAGUUCCAAAAAACUAUUUUACGGCGUAGGAGAUCAUUCAUUUCCAUUGCUGGCCGUCGAGUAACUUCUGAGUUGCCUUAUUAGGUCCUCCACAGUCACCCCAUCAGUCCCUGGCAGUCUAGUCCCUGGAUCACCUGCCCCUGGAUCACCUGCCCCUGGCAAAGUGGCCUCUUGAUUGCUCUCUCUGUCUCCUGUCAUGUCCUUUUCAUCGCUCUUGAAAUCCACCUCAAUUUCUCCCUCAAUCUCUCUAACAAUUACAAGGUAAUGUUGCUGUUAUAUGUAUUUUGCCUUUGCAUUUGCAACUACUGUCAUCUCCAAUGUAAGGCAAUGUAAGAAAAUUAAAUAAAGCGAAACAUUUCUGUAAUGUGAAUUAAAUCAUCUGCCACAAUAAGAAACCAAUAAAAUGUAUAAAUGGAUCUACCGGCAAUUGUAAAUUGGGUAGAAAUGUGUCGAUUAUCCACAUUGUGUUCAAAUCCUCAGAAUCCCUGACCUCUGGUUGUUUCUUAAACUGAAUGUACAAAUAUGAAUUAUGCAAUCUCAUUAGGAGUGUAGUCUAUCCUUGAAUUACAUGAAAUGGGGAAUAUUGUUAGCUGCAUGGAUCAUACCGAAGUUUAAUUUGGUGAAAUAUGUGUGGUCCGUUGCACUUGGUUCUGGAGGCCCCCUCACAGAAGGGCGUUUCCUCCUCUUCGGCUUAGGGCGAUGAAUGAAAACUGUUGGUACUGCAUAGGGCCUCAGCUUCAACAUCCCUUCUCUUUUUGUGGCAG